UUAAGUUCAUUAUGCUAAGUGAAAUACGAACCUUAGAAGGACAAAUACUGUACUGCAUUGUUUUAUUCAUAUGAGUUAUCUGAAACAGUCAGACUCAUAGAGCAAGAACAUAGAAUGGUGGUUGCCAAGGGUUGGAGACAAGAGACUGAGUAAUUCUUUUUCAAUGAGAAUAAAGUUUCUGUUAUGAAAGAUGAAUCUGUGUAACAUAGUACCUAUAGUAAAGAAUAUGGUAUUGUGUAUUUUAGACUAGGUAUUGAAAUGAUUUCUAGGUAUUGUGUAUUUAAGACUAGGUAUUGAAAUGAUUUCUAGGCCCGAGAUGGAGCUGCUUCUGCCUGGAGUACCAUGUCAGUUAGUCAAAACUUAGAUAACUUUUCCAUUCCUAGAAAUGCUCUGCUUGACUAACAAUGUGCUGUAUUCUAUCAGUCAAUCCCCAACUGUCAUGAUUUCUUUGUUCUAAAUAGGAACAGUUAUGCAACCCUAGCCAAUCAACUUAAGCCAAAUACUCUUUCCUUAUCUCCUGAUUGGCUUCUUCUGAAAAAGCUUCUUGCUAUGCAGUUCUCUGGACUCUUAAGAGUAAAAAACUGUCUACUCCAUAAAGUGUAAAAUAAAAUUUGCUUAGACUAA